rnacentral:rRNA from 1 species
GACGAACGCUGGCGGCGUGCUUAACACAUGCAAGUCGAACGGAAAGGCCCUGCUUUUGUGGGGUGCUCGAGUGGCGAACGGGUGAGUAACACGUGAGUAACCUGCCCUUGACUUUGGGAUAACUUCAGGAAACUGGGGCUAAUACCGGAUAGGAGCUCCUGCUGCAUGGUGGGGGUUGGAAAGUUUCGGCGGUUGGGGAUGGACUCGCGGCUUAUCAGCUUGUUGGUGGGGUAGUGGCUUACCAAGGCUUUGACGGGUAGCCGGCCUGAGAGGGUGACCGGCCACAUGGGGACUGAGAUACGGCCCAGACUCCUACGGGAGGCAGCAGUGGGGAAUAUUGCACAAUGGGCGGAAGCCUGAUGCAGCAACGCCGCGUGCGGGAUGACGGCCUUCGGGUGGUAAACCGCUUUCGCCUGUGACGAAGCGUGAGUGACGGGAAUGGGUAAAGAAGCACCGGCUAACUACGU